AUUGAACGCUGGCGGCAUGCCUUACACAUGCAAGUCGAACGGCAGCACGGGUGCUUGCACCUGGUGGCGAGUGGCGAACGGGUGAGUAAUACAUCGGAACGUACCUUAUCGUGGGGGAUAACGCAGCGAAAGUUGCGCUAAUACCGCAUACGCCCUGAGGGGGAAAGCGGGGGACCGUAAGGCCUCGCGCGAUUAGAGCGGCCGAUGUCUGAUUAGCUUGUUGGGGAGGUAAAAGCUCACCAAGGCGAUGAUCAGUAGCUGGUCUGAGAGGACGAUCCGCCAACGUGGGACUGAGACACGGCCCAGACUCCUACGGGAGGCAGCAGUGGGGAAUUUUGGAAAAUGGGGGCAACCCUGAUCCAGCAAUGCCGCGUGAGUGAAGAAGGCCUUCGGGUUGUAAAGCUCUUUUGUCAGGGAAGAAACAGCAGCUCUAACACAGUCUGCGAAUGGCGGUACCUGAAGAAUAAGCACCGGCUAACUACGUGCCAGCAGCCGCGGUAA
rnacentral:rRNA from 1 species